UGCAAGUCGAACGAAGCACUUAUCUUUGAUUCUUCGGAUGAAGAGAUUUGUGACUGAGUGGCGGACGGGUGAGUAACGCGUGGGUAACCUGCCUCAUACAGGGGGAUAACAGUUAGAAAUGACUGCUAAUACCGCAUAAGACCACAGAGCCGCAUGGCUCGGUGGGAAAAACUCCGGUGGUAUGAGAUGGACCCGCGUCUGAUUAGGUAGUUGGUGGGGUAACGGCCUACCAAGCCAACGAUCAGUAGCCGACCUGAGAGGGUGACCGGCCACAUUGGGACUGAGACACGGCCCAAACUCCUACGGGAGGCAGCAGUGGGGAAUAUUGCACAAUGGGGGAAACCCUGAUGCAGCGACGCCGCGUGAGCGAAGAAGUAUUUCGGUAUGUAAAGCUCUAUCAGCAGGGAAGAAAAUGACGGUACCUGACUAAGAAGCACCGGCUAAAUACGUGCCAGCAGCCGCGGUAAUACGUAUGGUGCAAGCGUUAUCCGGAUUUACUGGGUGUAAAGGGAGCGUAGACGGCUGUGUAAGUCUGAAGUGAAAGCCCGGGGCUCAACCCCGGAACUGCUUUGGAAACUAUGCAGCUAGAGUGUCGGAGAGGUAAGUGGAAUUCCCAGUGUAGCGGUGAAAUGCGUAGAUAUUGGGAGGAACACCAGUGGCGAAGGCGGCUUACUGGACGAUGACUGACGUUGAGGCUCGAAAGCGUGGGGA
rnacentral:rRNA from 1 species